rnacentral:hammerhead_ribozyme from 1 species
AUUCAGCUGACGAGUCCCGAAUAGGACGAAACGCGCGUCCCGGAU